rnacentral:tRNA from 1 species
GCCCGGGUGGCACAAUGGUUAAGUGGUUGGCUGCUAACCAAAAAUUUGGUGGUUUGAACCCACCCAGGGCU